rnacentral:lncRNA from 10 species
GUAAGUAACAUUCUCAGGUGGUGUUCCAAAGUUAUCUUUUGCCUGGGUACAGUGGCUCACACCUGUAAUCCCAGCUCUUUGGGAGCCCAAGGUGGGAGGAUCACUAGAGGCUAACAGUUUGAGACCAGCUUGGGCAAUGGAGUGAGACCCCCAUUCUGAAAAAAAAAAAUCAAAAAAUUUAACAGGCAUGGUGGCAUGUGCCUGCAGUCCCAGCUACUCAGGAGGCUGAGGUGGGAGGAUCGCUUGAACUCAGGAGUUGAAGGCUGCAGUGGGUGAGGAUCACAACACUGAAUUCCAGCUGAGGUGACAGAAUGAGACCCUGUCUCUCUAAAAAACAAGCAAGCAAACAAACCAAAAACCACAAACAAACCAGACCCCUCUUAGCAGAAUACUUCCAUGAGGUAAUAAAAGAAAGAAGAAAGUGAAACGAACAAACAAUUUUACUCAAGAAACUAGUGAGAAAUCAAAGAAAUGUCCAAGAAGUAGGAUACAAGAAUUAAUCAAAACAGAUUAACAGUGGAAUAAAUAAAUGAAUCCAACUGGUUCUUUGUAAUGGAAUGUGGAAAGACAUACUCUAUUCUUCUGGAUAGGAAGAUGAAAUAUCAUAAUCAUAUCAAUGCAAGUUUUAUGCAUGCUCAAACAUGUAUAAACUAAGAAAAAAUCUGAAAGGACAGACAGCAAAAUGUUUGCAGUUUUUUUCCUCCAAGUGGUAAGAUUAAAGAACACAGACAAAAAUAGAAACUCCUCACAUGACCCACCACGAAGCCCAUCAGAUGGCAGAAUGCAGAAUCAGGUUGCAGUGGACUGAUCUUAAAACAGAUGAAGCAGUGGAGAAAAUCUUCCUGGAGCUGAUGGUAUAAUUUGCUUCUUGAAACAAUGACAGUCCAUGAAAUAAGGUGGGGAAGAUGUUUUGAACCUCUCUCAGCAGCAGAUCCCUAAAUCACAGACCCAGAACUUGGAGGAAACAGGAAACAGGAGGCCAUCUCUGCACCUCUCCAGCACUGCUCUGGUUGGUGGGCAGAAUAUCAUAAAAUCAUCACGAUUCUUAUAUCAAAAACCAAAUUCUAGACUGAUUAAAUAAUUAUUUUUUUAAAUGAGAAAAGUUAUCGUUUAUUUGAUCUUGGGCUAGGGAAGAUAUUUCCAAGCAAAAAGGGUAAAAAGAAGGAAAAAGAAACGAUUAACAGAUUGGAAGGCAAUAACAAUAUAAUAUCAAGUGCUGGCAAGAGCUCAGGGAAGUGCGUGUUCUCAUGACUGCUGGAACAAAUUGGUAUAAUAUUUCUGAAGGGCAAUCUGGCUGAAUAUGUUAGAAGUCUUUAAAAUAUUUAUCCUCUGACUCAGUAAUUCCACAUCUAGAAAUUUUUCCUAAGU